GAUGAACGCUGGCGGCGUGCCUAAUACAUGCAAGUCGAGCGAACGGACGAGAAGCUUGCUUCUCUGAUGUUAGCGGCGGACGGGUGAGUAACACGUGGAUAACCUACCUAUAAGACUGGGAUAACUUCGGGAAACCGGAGCUAAUACCGGAUAAUAUUUUGAACCGCAUGGUUCAAAAGUGAAAGACGGUCUUGCUGUCACUUAUAGAUGGAUCCGCGCUGCAUUAGCUAGUUGGUAAGGUAACGGCUUACCAAGGCAACGAUGCAUAGCCGACCUGAGAGGGUGAUCGGCCACACUGGAACUGAGACACGGUCCAGACUCCUACGGGAGGCAGCAGUAGGGAAUCGUCCGCCAAGGGCGAAAGCCUGACGGAGCAACGCCGCGUGAGUGAUGAAGGUCUUCGGAUCGUAAAACUCUGUUAUUAGGGAAGAACAUAUGUGUAAGUAACUGUGCACAUCUUGACGGUACCUAAUCAGAAAGCCACGGCUAACUACGUG
rnacentral:rRNA from 1 species